rnacentral:rRNA from 1 species
GAUGAACGCUGGCGGCGUGCUUAACACAUGCAAGUCGAGCGAGAAGUUUUGAAAAGAUUCUUCGGAUGAAAUUUAAAAUGGAAAGCGGCGGACGGGUGAGUAACGCGUAGGCAACCUGCCCCAUACAAAGGGAUAGCAUUUGGAAACGAAUAUUAAUACCUUAUGAAACUUAACUAGUGCAUGCUAGGUAGGUCAAAGAUUUAUCGGUAUGGGAUGGGCCCGCGUCUGAUUAGCUAGUUGGUGAGGUAACGGCUCACCAAGGCGACGAUCAGUAGCCGACCUGGGAGGGUGAACGGCCACAUUGGAACUGAGACACGGUCCAAACUCCUACGGGAGGCAGCAGUGGGGAAUAUUGCACAAUGGGGGAAACCCUGAUGCAGCAACGCCGCGUGAACGAUGAAGGCCUUUGGGUCGUAAAGUUCUGUUCUAGGUGAUGAAAACUGACAGUAACCUAGGAGAAAGCCCCGGCUAACUCCGUG